rnacentral:piRNA from 1 species
UGGUGAUCUUCCUCUUUGUAGGUU